rnacentral:rRNA from 1 species
AUAGAGACUCAGAGCUGCAUAUCAAUAAGCGGAGGAAAAGAAACUAACAAGGAUUCCCCUAGUAACGGCGAGUGAAGCGGGAAGAGCUCAAAUUUGAAAUCUUAAAGGGUUUCCCUUUACGAAUUGUAGUUUAAAGAAGUGUUUUCUGUUGGAGUUUCGGUAAAAGUUCUUUGGAAUAGGACAUCAUAGAGGGUGAGAAUCCCGUAUUUGACCGUUACUUUCCAGCUGUGUGAUACACUUUCAAAGAGUCGGAUUGUUUGGGAACGCAGUCCAAAAUGGGUGGUAAAUUUCAUCUAAAGCUAAAUAUUGGCGAGAGACCGAUAGCGAACAAGUACCGUGAGGGAAAGAUGAAAAGAACUUUGAAAAGAGAGUUAAACAGUACGUGAAAUUGUCAAAAGGGAAGCGUUUGACACCAGUGUUGUUUAGUUGAAAAUCAAUUCAAUAGUUUUUGAUUUUAAGUAGUAUUUGACUUCAUCAGCUUGCUGCUUUUUUCUCUGAAAUUAUUGAAUGCACUUUUCAGUUAACAAGUCAACAUCAGUUUCUUUUGUUGUAAAGAGGUGAGAGGAAGGUGGCUUGCGCUUCGGCUCAAGUGUUUAUAGCCUUUUACCCCUGCAAUCGAAGAGACUGAGGUCUGCAGCGUAGAUCCUUCGGGGUUAGAUACAUUUGUGCUAAGCUAUAGCCUUGUAUAGACAACUUGUUGACUAUGCUCAGUCAUGCAGCUUACUCGCUUAUGCUAUUUUACCUACGCUUAGGAUGUUGAAGUCAUCGUAUCGCGC